CGUAAAAGAGCUGGGAGAGCACCUCCCUUACAAGGAGGGGGUCGGCGGUUCGAUCCCGUCAUCACCCACCA
rnacentral:tRNA from 1 species